rnacentral:rRNA from 1 species
UACGGAGGGUGCAAGCGUUAAUCGGAAUUACUGGGCGUAAAGCGUGCGUAGGCGGUUCGUUAAGUCUGUUGUGAAAGCCCCGGGCUCAACCUGGGAAUGGCAAUGGAUACUGGCGAGCUAGAGUGUGUCAGAGGAUGGUGGAAUUCCCGGUGUAGCGGUGAAAUGCGUAGAGAUCGGGAGGAACAUCAGUGGCGAAGGCGGCCAUCUGGGACAACACUGACGCUGAGGCACGAAAAGCGUGGGGGAGCAAACAGG